GAUGAACGCUGGCGGCGUGCCUAAUACAUGCAAGUCGAGCGAACAGGCGAGGAGCUUGCUCCUCUGACGUUAGCGGCGGACGGGUGAGUAACACGUGGAUAACCUACCUAUAAGACUGGGAUAACUUCGGGAAACCGGAGCUAAUACCGGAUAAUAUAUUGAACCGCAUGGUUCAAUAGUGAAAGACGGUUUUGCUGUCACUUAUAGAUGGAUCCGCGCCGCAUUAGCUAGUUGGUAAGGUAACGGCUUACCAAGGCAACGAUGCGUAGCCGACCUGAGAGGGUGAUCGGCCACACUGGAACUGAGACACGGACCAGACUCCUACGGGAGGCAGCAGUAGGGAAUCUUCCGCAAUGGGCGAAAGCCUGACGGAGCAACGCCGCGUGAGUGAUGAAGGUCUUCGGAUCGUAAAACUCUGUUAUUAGGGAAGAACAAAUGUGUAAGUAACUAUGCACGUCUUGACGGUACCUAAUCAGAAAGCCACGGCUAACUACGUG
rnacentral:rRNA from 1 species